CCUACGGGUGGCAGCAGUGGGGAAUAUUGGACAAUGGGCGAAAGCCUGAUCCAGCCAUGCCGCGUGUGUGAAGAAGGCCUUCGGGUUGUAAAGCACUUUCAGUGGGGAAGAAAGCCUUGGGGCUAAUACCCUCGAGGAAGGACAUCACCCACAGAAGAAGCACCGGCUAACUCCGUGCCAGCAGCCGCGGUAAUACGGAGGGUGCGAGCGUUAAUCGGAAUUACUGGGCGUAAAGCGCGCGUAGGCGGUCUGAUAAGCCGGUUGUGAAAGCCCCGGGCUCAACCUGGGAACGGCAUCCGGAACUGUCAGGCUAGAGUGCAGGAGAGGAAGAUAGAAUUCCCGGUGUAGCGGUGAAAUGCGUAGAGAUCGGGAGGAAUACCAGUGGCGAAGGCGGCCUUCUGGACUGACACUGACGCUGAGGUGCGAAAGCGUGGGUAGCAAACAGGAUUAGAUACCCCAGUAGUC
rnacentral:rRNA from 1 species